rnacentral:rRNA from 1 species
UACAGAGGGGGCGAGCGUUGUUCGGAAUUACUGGGCGUAAAGGGCUCGUAGGCGGCCAACUAAGUCGGAUGUGAAAUCCCCAGGCUUAACCUGGGAACUGCAUCCGAUACUGGAUGGCUUGAAUCCGGGAGAGGGAUGCAGAAUUCCAGGUGUAGCGGUGAAAUGCAUAGAUAUCUGGAGGAAUACCGGUGGCGAAGGCGGCAUCCUGGACCGGCAUUGACGCUGAUGAGCGAAAGCUAGGGGAGCAAACGGG